rnacentral:rRNA from 1 species
UGAGCGGCGGACGGGUGAGUAACACGUGGGAACAUGCCCUUUAGUAAGGAAUAGCCACUGGAAACGGUGAGUAAUACCUUAUACGCCCUUCGGGGGAAAGAUUUAUCGCUAAAGGAUUGGCCCGCGUCUGAUUAGAUAGUUGGUGGGGUAACGGCCUACCAAGUCGACGAUCAGUAGCUGGUUUUAGAGGACGAUCAGCCACACUGGGACUGAGACACGGCCCAGACUCCUACGGGAGGCAGCAGUGGGGAAUCUUAGACAAUGGGCGCAAGCCUGAUCUAGCCAUGCCGCGUGUGUGAUGAAGGUCUUAGGAUCGUAAAGCACUUUCGCCAGGGAUGAUAAUGACAGUACCUGGUAAAGAAACCCCGGCUAACUCCGUGCCAGCAGCCGCGGUAAUACGGAGGGGGUUAGCGUUGUUCGGAAUUACUGGGCGUAAAGCGCACGUAGGCGGAUUAUUAAGUCAGAGGUGAAAUCCCGGGGCUCAACCCCGGAACUGCCUUUGAUACUGGUAGUCUUGAGUUCGAGAGAGGUGAGUGGAAUUCCGAGUGUAGAGGUGAAAUUCGUAGAUAUUCGGAGGAACACCAGUGGCGAAGGCGGCUCACUGGC